rnacentral:rRNA from 1 species
UGGGCAACCUGCCCCUCUCUCUGGGAUAACCCCGGGAAACCGGAGCUAAUACCGGAUACUCCGGCUGGAUUGCAUGGUCCGGCCGGGAAAGGUCCGCCGGAGAGGGAUGGGCCCGCGGCCUAUCAGCUUGUUGGUGGGGUAACGGCUCACCAAGGCUACGACGGGUAGCUGGUCUGAGAGGACGACCAGCCACACUGGAACUGAGAUACGGUCCAGACUCCGUACGGGAGGCA